rnacentral:rRNA from 1 species
GAUGAACGCUGGCGGUAUGCUUAACACAUGCAAGUCGAACGGACUCUUCGGAGUUAGUGGCGGACGGGUGAGUAACGCGUGAGAAUCUGGCUUUGGGUUCGGGACAACCACUGGAAACGGUGGCUAAUACCGGAUGUGCCGAGAGGUAAAAGAGAAAUUGCCUGAAGAUGAGCUCGCGUCUGAUUAGCUAGUUGGUGAGGUAAAGACUCACCAAGGCAGCGAUCAGUAGCUGGUCUGAGAGGAUGACCAGCCACACUGGGACUGAGACACGGCCCAGACUACUACGGGAGGCAGCAGUGGGGAAUUUUCCGCAAUGGGCGAAAGCCUGACGGAGCAAUACCGCGUGAGGGAAGAAGGCUCUUGGGUUGUAAACCUCUUUUCUUAGGGAAGAACAAAAUGACGGUACCUAAGGAAUCAGCAUCGGCUAACUCCGUG